CACCAUCCAUUUUUAAUAAUUGCCUCGGCUUGUUUUUCCAGCCUAGGCUACCCCUAUCCAGAUGCAGGGAAUUUCCAUCCUUUUUUUUUUUUUUCUUUCCACGGUAGGAAGUGCCAGGAAGGAAGCAAAAAGUGUGCUCAGUGGACGCAAGGCCGGAUCUGCUAGUCAGCUACUCCACUGCUGAAACCAGCUGCGGAGAGCCACGGAGCCCUGCUCUCCUCUGUAUCCUGGAAAUUCCACGCAGCUUAUGGAAACCAUCCUCUGGCCUCAAGAUUGCCCCUCAGUAGCCCUCUGGCCUCUUCUGAGGCUUUACCCAAAUGCUUACAUAGAACUGGAGGUGGGGAAGAAAUUCCCCGUUGGAGUGGGUCCCCUUUUCCUAGCAGCCUCCAUUCCCGAGUCCAGGCACACAGGGGAAAUUGAGGGGGGUCUCACCCUUCACCCUAGAACUGCGGAGGCUCAAGCGUGCCAGUGGGAGCGGUGAGGGGCCUCUGACGUGUGAAAAUUCCCCAAGCCUUCAGCAUCAUCAGAGGCUCUUCAACCCCACCCCUUGCAUCUGUUUUUCUCUCCCCUGGCCUCAUCUUUGCCCUCCUAGACCUACUGUCCAGUUUCCCAGUCCCUCUGGGUCCCCACUGAGGCUACCUCUUGGGGGAGAAGGAGAGCGGCCUUUCUUCUUUGUCCCCAAAACUCCUCUCAAGGGAUCUGGAGCCACCUGGGAGGCCAAGAGCUUUUUCUUGAAUCUCGGUUGCUACAUGUUUAGUAUUCACAGCGUGUCUCUAAAAAAUGUUCUGAGAUCAUUCAUCAGGCACUGUGCUGUGUGCCUAGCUACUCUCCUUUGGGGUGUGUGUGUGUGUGUGUGUGUGUGUUAUGCAGGACCCUCCCUCCAUCUGCUGGUGAACACAAACACGCACACACACACACACACACACACACACACGCACACACACACCUUAACCUCUUUCCCUUCUCCCCAAACCAACCGCAUGCUCAAAGCAGACCUCUGCCAGCUGGCAGAUCGCUCCCUUUCUGAGGUGGGCUCCUGGGCUGGGGCUGGGCCUGGGCUCAAAACAGCUCGCACUCCAGGGCUGGGGAGAGGCGCGGUGAGCAGGAGCCGGAGCCAAAACUCAAGUUGUGACCCGAGCCGGCAGCUGUGCCUUUAAGCCGCGUUCCCAUUCGGGGAAACCGACGCCAGCACUCGAGGGUCGGGAGGCGCCGGAGAGGCCCCCUCAUUCCCUACUCCCCUCUUUCCUCCCCCUCCCCCUCCCCUCCCCCCGCCCCCUCUCCCCUCCCCUCCUCGGCCGUCCGGCCGCCUCGCCGCCAUCCGUCACCUCGCCGCCUGCCGCACUCCUGGAGCGAGCGAGAGACGAGCGAGCCACGGCGAUGGUGCCGCCCGCGGCGCAGCCAUGGAGCCCGCCGGAGGAGCCCGCGCGCGCCGCUGCCAGCUUGCCCGCAGCCCGCCGCCUGCGCGCCAGCUCCCC
rnacentral:lncRNA from 9 species